GGCUCAAUGGUCCAAUGGCAAAGCGCUCGUUGCUGAACCAGAGGGUCCUGGGUUUGAUCCCCAACAGGGUCA
rnacentral:tRNA from 1 species